UACGUAGGGUCCGAGCGUUGUCCGGAAUUAUUGGGCGUAAAGGGCUCGUAGGCGGUUCGUCACGUCGGGAGUGAAAACUCGGGGCUUAACCCCGAGCCUGCUUCCGAUACGGGCAGACUAGAGGUAGGCAGGGGAGAGCGGAACUCCUGGUGUAGCGGUGGAAUGCGCAGAUAUCAGGAAGAACACCUAUGGCGAAGGCAGCUCUCUGGGACGGUACUGACGCUGAGACGCGAAAGCGUGGGGAGCGAACAGG
rnacentral:rRNA from 1 species